GGAUGAACGCUGGCGGCGUGCCUAAUACAUGCAAGUCGAGCGAACAGACGAGGAGCUUGCUCCUCUGACGUUAGCGGCGGACGGGUGAGUAACACGUGGAUAACCUACCUAUAAGACUGGGAUAACUUCGGGAAACCGGAGCUAAUACCGGAUAAUAUAUUGAACCGCAUGGUUCAAUAGUGAAAGACGGUUUUGCUGUCACUUAUAGAUGGAUCCGCGCCGCAUUAGCUAGUUGGUAAGGUAACGGCUUACCAAGGCAACGAUGCGUAGCCGACCUGAGAGGGUGAUCGGCCACACUGGAACUGAGACACGGUCCAGACUCCUACGGGAGGCAGCAGUAGGGAAUCUUCCGCAAUGGGCGAAAGCCUGACGGAGCAACGCCGCGUGAGUGAUGAAGGUCUUCGGAUCGUAAAACUCUGUUAUUAGGGAAGAACAAAUGUGUAAGUAACUAUGCACGUCUUGACGGUACCUAAUCAGAAAGCCACGGCUAACUAC
rnacentral:rRNA from 1 species